AGCCAGCAGCCGCGGUAACACGUAAGGGGCGAGCGUUGUUCGGAAUUAUUGGGCGUAAAGGGCACGCAGGCGGCCUGACAAGUCUGAUGUGAAAGAUCUGGGCUUAACUCAGAGAACGCGUUGGAAACUGUCAAGCUAGAGUAUUAGAGGGGGAGUCGGAAUUCCUAGUGUAGGGGUGAAAUCUGUUGAUAUUAGGAAGAACACCGGUGGCGAAGGCGGACUCCUGGCUGAAUACUGACGCUGAGGUGCGAAAGCAUAGGGAGCAAACAGGAUUAGAUACCCUGGUAGUCUAUGCUGUAAACGAUGUGCACUUGGUGUUGGGCCGAUUAGGUUCAGUGCCGAAGCUAACGCGAUAAGUGCACCGCCUGGGGAGUAUGCCCGCAAGGGUGAAACUUAAAGGAAUUGGCGGGGGA
rnacentral:rRNA from 1 species